ensembl:misc_RNA 7SK 7SK RNA
GGAUGUGAGGGCACUCUGGCUGUGACAUCUGUCACCACACUGAUCACAAGGGUUGAUUUGGCUGAUCUGGCUGUCUAGGUGGGUGUCCCCUUCCUCCCUUACUGCUCCAUGAGUGUCCCUCCUGAAGCAGCCUGCUCGGUCAAAGAGGAUGACCUUAACUGAUAGCAGAGGAUUGUUCUUCAGUCAAGGGUGAAUGAGUAGCUGAGCUCUCCUGCUAGGACCUCCAAACAAGACCUCAAGGUUCAUCUGUAGGAGAACAUAGGGUAAUCAAGCUUCCAAGACUCCAGACACAUCCAAAGGAGGCACUGCAGGUGGCAGUCUGAAAUAAAU